rnacentral:rRNA from 1 species
UGGAGAGUUUGAUCCUGGCUCAGAUUGAACGCUAGCGGGAUGCCUUACACAUGCAAGUCGAACGGCAGCACGGACUUCGGUCUGGUGGCGAGUGGCGAACGGGUGAGUAAUGUAUCGGAACGUGCCUAGUAGCGGGGGAUAACUACGCGAAAGCGUAGCUAAUACCGCAUACGCCCUACGGGGGAAAGCAGGGGAUCGCAAGACCUUGCACUAUUAGAGCGGCCGAUAUCGGAUUAGCUAGUUGGUGGGGUAACGGCUCACCAAGGCGACGAUCCGUAGCUGGUUUGAGAGGACGACCAGCCACACUGGGACUGAGACACGGCCCAGACUCCUACGGGAGGCAGCAGUGGGGAAUUUUGGACAAUGGGGGAAACCCUGAUCCAGCCAUCCCGCGUGUGCGAUGAAGGCCUUCGGGUUGUAAAGCACUUUUGGCAGGAAAGAAACGUCAUGGGCUAAUACCCCGUGAAACUGACGGUACCUGCAGAAUAAGCACCGGCUAACUACGUGCCAGCAGCCGCGGUA